CUCGUAGGCGGCCAACUAAGUCAGACGUGAAAUCCCUCGGCUUAACCGGGGAACUGCGUCUGAUACUGGGUGGCUUGAAUCCGGGAGAGGGAUGCGGAAUUCCAGGUGUAGCGGUGAAAUGCGUAGAUAUCUGGAGGAACACCGGUGGCGAAGGCGGCAUCCUGGACCGGUAUUGACGCUGAGGAGCGAAAGCCAGGGGAGCAAAC
rnacentral:rRNA from 1 species